GCCUACAACGGAAACCAGCUGAGAGAAAGGGUAGGGAAGACAAGAUGGCGGAGUGAGUGGGUUGCGCUUUCUACAGACGGUUGCGACCCUUGAAGUUUGUCGAAAACGCCCUGAAGGAUUGAAACGAUUGUAAAAGUAACAUUGCCAUCGGGAUUGUAAUUAGAAGCGCUGUUUUUGCUACCCUGCACAAAGCGAAGUCCGGACAUUUUUCCGAGACUGUCCUUGCUACAGCGUUAGCUUGAUGCUAACGCUAGCCUACGUUAGUUCACACUAACGUUAGCUGCAGCUACGAGUUAGCUAGGUGGUUGCUGAAGGCCGUAAGCUUUUUCGGAUUUAGUUUUGGAUGGACAUACUUCGAUACUGACACGGAAUUCCGUGUUUCUUGCAGGAGGUUUUUAUUCGAACGAAGAUCCACUGAAGCCGGUAGCCUAUGAAUAAAGCGAACAAAUUCGGGAGAAAUCGACUUUCCAACUUGCUUUUUACGUUAAUAGUCGAAAAGAUUCGUUGGGGUAACAUUUGCAGCUAGUUUAUAUUCGCCUUCAUCAACGACCACUGGACAUACACGACUUUGUAUGUUCUGCUGACAACUGGCAAGACUGCCACACAAUCUUCUAAAGUGAAUCGGGUGGAGAUUGCCCUUUGGUGGAUAUUAUGGCGAGCAGCAGUGGCUCCAAGGCCGAAUUCAUAGUCGGUGGAAAAUACAAGCUUGUCAGAAAAAUUGGAUCGGGAUCCUUUGGUGACAUAUAUCUGGCCAUCAACAUCACGAAUGGAGAGGAGGUAGCUGUAAAAUUGGAAUCACAGAAAGCCAGACAUCCACAGCUGUUAUACGAAAGCAAGCUGUAUAAAAUCCUACAAGGUGGUGUCGGGAUUCCACACAUCAGAUGGUAUGGCCAAGAGAAGGACUACAAUGUCCUAGUCAUGGACCUGCUUGGGCCCAGUCUGGAGGACCUCUUCAACUUCUGUUCUCGCCGCUUCACCAUGAAGACGGUCCUUAUGCUGGCAGACCAGAUGAUCAGCAGAAUUGAGUAUGUACACACAAAGAACUUCAUCCACAGAGAUAUCAAACCAGACAACUUUCUCAUGGGCAUCGGCCGUCACUGUAACAAGUGUUUAGACUCGUCAGUCGCGAAGAGGAAAAGAAGCUUGGCUGUUAGCUCUUCUCAGGACCCAUCUUUCUCAGGAUUAAACCAGUUGUUCCUUAUUGACUUUGGUUUGGCGAAGAAGUAUCGAGACAACCGAACACGACAGCACAUCCCUUACAGAGAAGACAAGAACCUGACUGGCACAGCCCGCUAUGCCUCCAUCAACGCACACCUGGGCAUUGAACAGAGUCGCCGUGAUGACAUGGAGUCGCUAGGCUACGUGUUGAUGUACUUCAACAGAACCAGUUUGCCAUGGCAGGGACUAAAGGCUGCCACAAAGAAGCAGAAGUAUGAGAAGAUCUCGGAGAAAAAGAUGUCCACCCCCGUUGAGGUCCUCUGUAAGGGUUUCCCAGCAGAGUUUGCUAUGUAUCUGAACUACUGCCGUGGCUUACGCUUUGAGGAGGCUCCAGACUACAUGUACCUGCGCCAGCUUUUCCGCAUCCUUUUCAGGACCCUGAACCACCAGUAUGACUACACAUUUGACUGGACCAUGCUGAAACAGAAAGCAGCCCAGCAGGGGGCCACCACCGGGGGCCAGGGCCAGCAGGCACAAACCCCCACAGGUCAGACCUGAAAGCAGAAUAUCCUUUUGGGACAGUGUACUUUUGAUGUGUUCCUAAAAGUGCGGUAUUUGAGCAGUCAGUGAUGGCAGUGGCAAAGAAUAACUGCUUUGAAGAUCUCAAGUCCACCUAAACUGCAGUCAACACUGCAACCCGCCACUUAAUUCAUAAAACAAGUCUUAGUACAAGAGCCACUUCUAACCUCUGUUGAAACUGAAUCUUCCUACUCUGAACCCACCUUAUUGGUGGUAACUGCAUACUUCCUGCUUCUUCUCCGGCUACUGCCACAAUGGCUUCUUGGCUCAAAGACAUAAGUCUCUUAACGUCGUCACAAUGCUGCUUGGUUAGAAGCUUGUUAUGUUCCAAGAACACUUGUAUGGUCUUAGUCCUGCUAGCAUUCUACCUUACUAGACCAGAUAGACUAUUGUAGAAGGAGAAAACAAAAGUUGGAAACUCACUACUUGGAUCUGUUUUUAAAGCCAAUGCACCUCUUCUGAUCAGCCUUGAUGGAGGAAAAGCAUGUAAAGAGUCUGGGUCUUCGUCAUUAGGAGAGGCUUCUGUUGCAACAUGUUCCGUCCUUCCACCAACACAUUGUGUAACAGUUACCGGUUAGCUGCCUACAAAGCAUACAUUAUUAUACAACCAUUGGUAGUGUGUAUACAGCCACAUAAAGGCUUUCAGUCCCCUCUGACACCAUGUAGCUGCACACUGGCUCCGCGGCAGAGGAUCGACAGUUUGAUACCUGGCUCCUAUGAUCCAUGUUGAUGUGCCCUUGUAUCCUUAAGUUGCUCCCGUAGGCUGUUUCUGCGCUGUAUGACUGUUGGUCCUGAUGGCCAGGUGGCACCUUGCAUGGUAGCCUCUUUCAAAGUAAUUCCAGACUUGUAUUGUAUUUGACUGAAUAAAAUGCUUCAAGAGCUUUCAAAUUUC